AUUGAACGCUGGCGGCAGGCCUAACACAUGCAAGUCGAGCGGAUGAAGGGAGCUUGCUCCUGGAUUCAGCGGCGGACGGGAGAGUAAUGCCUAGGAAUCUGCCUGGUAGUGGGGGAUAACGUCCGGAAACUGGCGCUAAUACCGCAUACGUCCUGAGGGAGAAAGUGGGGGAGCUUCGGACCUCACGCAAUCAGAUGAGCCUAGGUCGGAUUAGCUAGUUGGUGGGGUAAAGGCCUACCAAGGCGACGAUCCGUAACUGGUCUGAGAGGAUGAUCAGUCACACUGGAACUGAGACACGGUCCAGACUCCUACGGGAGGCAGCAGUGGGGAAUAUUGGACAAUGGGCGAAAGCCUGAUCCAGCCAUGCCGCGUGUAUGAAGAAGGUCUUCGGAUUGUAAACUACUUUAAGAUGGGAGGAAGGGAAGUAAGUUAAUACCUUGCUGUUUUGACGUUACCAACAGAAUAAGCACCGGCUAACUUCGUG
rnacentral:rRNA from 1 species